rnacentral:rRNA from 1 species
UGCCAGCAACCGCGGUAAUACGUAGGUGGCAAGCGUUGUCCGGAUUUAUUGGGCGUAAAGCGAGCGCAGGCGGUCUUUUAAGUCUAAUGUGAAAGCCUUCGGCUCAACCGAAGAAGUGCAUUGGAAACUGGGAGACUUGAGUGCAGAAGAGGACAGUGGAACUCCAUGUGUAGCGGUGAAAUGCGUAGAUAUCGGGAGGAACACCAGUGGCGAAGGCGGCCUUCUGGGCUGUUCCUGACGCUCAGACGCGAAAGCUAGGGUAGCGAACGGGAUUAGAUA